rnacentral:tRNA from 1 species
GCCGAUCUAGCUCAUCAGGUAGAGCAGCCGCUCUGUAAGCGGAGGGCGCGGGGUUCAAGCCCUCGGAUCGGCACCA